rnacentral:lncRNA from 1 species
GGGAGAAGACAGCAGAAUCAUCUAGUUAUGGAUAGUCAUUUCUACACAACGUUCAGAUUAAAUGCAUUCAAAAUUUCCAGAAAACUCAUCCAUAUAGAGAACUGCAGAUUAAUUGAUGGGAUUUGGACCAUGUUACCAAAAUGUUAAAGAGAGAUACUAACGGAAACAUGAUUUUGGGGAAUACGUGCCAAAAUAUUAAUUACUAAAAUUUGUGAAGUGCUUUGAAAUUUAAGGACCUUUUCUAUUGAUUAUCUCAUUUGAUAUUCACACAAGUCACAUAAUUGGGAGGUGUUGGAAGGGGGCUACAUUUUCACUUGAUUCUACGUUCUAUGUUCUUUUCAUUCCCAAGUGAAUUGGCAAAACAUUCUGAAGGCCUUGGUGGUGUUGUCAGAGUGGAUUGUAAUCAUGUCUAAAUCCCCACCUCAGCCUAUUUAACUUCUGGUGGCUCCAUGAACACUGCCUGCACAGUGGCUUUCUGCAGUUAGCUUUCCAGUUCCAUUAGUGACAGAGUACGACAGUGUGCCUUGAUCAGUUCAAAUCUAUCUCAUAUAAUGGAGAAGUGUUCAUUCAACAUUUGCGGAAUAUUUGCUCUCUGCCAGCCCAAGCUACCUGAAGAAUCCCUGGAAGAAGAGAUACCUCCACUAUAUGGACAGAAAGAGGGAGAGAGAGAAGAGAGAGGUCGUUCUUUUCUAUGCCAGGACAGAGAGGUACUCAGGGAUAGAAGCCCAGAUUGGGAAAAAACUCAUAAGAUAAAGAUGGAGAUGCUGAAUCAUAUUAUUAAAGUGGCACUAUGGUCUCAACAUCGUCUUAGUUUCUGAUUUCUCUGAGAUACCCUCCACACCCCCCAAGGCACAAAUGUUCAAUUCAAGGGUGAAAUACUUUCUCAAGAUUAAGAAGAAAAGUUUGUCAAGAUGAAGAAAUUUCGGGGAAAGGUGAAGAUGCAUGGGAAUCUAACGAAUGUAAGAGGCAUUUAGAUACAUCAGGGUGCAAUUAAA